CAUGUGUUUACAUGUUUGUCUCGGCUUCCAUGGAGUCACAAUCUCGUACUUAGAGCCAUUCUCGUAGGAAGAGAUUAAAUGUGCAGUAAAGUUGUCUCGGGUGGGGAUUGGGUGAUUGUAUAUGCUUUAUAAACAGCACAAGUGUAGUGGGUUUACAGUGUUUUAACAGUUUUUCUACAUAACUCACAGCAGCAUUCUUAGAACUUCCAUCCAUGCCAGCCCAGUUUGUGUUUAUAGGGAGAAAGUUUUUUCAGAUUGGGAACCAGGUCAGCCUGGCUGUUCAAAUAUAUAAUUAUGCAAAGUAGUUCAUACCAAUAAUUAAUACACUGUGUGCAACUAUUGACAUGGGUGUCCUGCUUUUAAUGGGAUGGCCUGGGUGGGGUAAAAUUUACACAGAACUAUUAUUUUCAACAUUGACUUGGUGAAUGCCUGGGUAUAAUGCUGUACACUAUUUGUGUGAGACACUAUCUGUAUUAUGCCUGUACAUGUAUCUGUGUUAUAUUUACAUCCGCAGGAAGGCAUUCUGCAGCAAUGUGGACUACAGUAUGCAUGUCAUGUUUCAGGUGCUAUUUAAAGCUACAAACAAAUGGUAUGGGUAACUUGGUGGAAAUGGCAAAAAUUUUAAUACAUCUAAAAUUAACCAUGGAAAAGUUUACUGAGUCAUUGCCAGUUGCUCCAACUGACUAUAAUACAAGAAACAGUUCCAACAAGCACAAAUGGUUUUUCACCACCAGACAGUCAUUGAUCCUGUCAAAUAUGAAACAGUCCCAUUAUUAAAGUCUGUUCUUCGCCUCUUCGGUUGUCCAACAGUCUGCCAUUGGUCUUGCUCAUUUUGACACACAUUAUUUUUUCCAUUUGAAAAUGUUUUUUU